rnacentral:lncRNA from 1 species
AGAGGUGCUGUUAUAUAACACAGGCACUGUAUAGCAGCCUUAGGUUAUGAAUAUUAAGAGACAAUCUCAAAUGAGAUAAUAUCAAUAAAGACCUCCUGUCGUCUCUACCCAAGAAAUAAACUAAAGGAAGGCAGUGUCCUUGCAGGCAUUUUGACAUCAGGGAUGGGCAAAAACAUACAUCCAUUUAAGAAUUCUAGAAUCAGAGACUAGGAAGAGUUGAAACAACCUUACAGAUCACUUGAUGCACUUUAUAUAGACCCAGGGGAGAAACAAAAAGACCAACUACUAAAGCUGCUAAAACAAGAUAAAGCAUACUGCAAGGGAAAGGCUGGAGCAGUUCACUGGCUGAAGUUAUAAACUCCAUCAAGAGACACACAAUCAGAUGGCACAACUGUCUUCAGUGGGUCACAGUUUUCCAAAUACAAAGGCGGUGCCUACCGAAGCUCUGGGAUUCUGGAAAAUAUACUGGACUUGGAGUAAGACAAUCUCAGUCCAUGUUCCUAGUUCUAGGAUUUUAGGCAUAACACUUGGCUUUUAGGGCAUUGUAUUUUCUUUAUAGUAACAUGGUAUUAAAAUGAUGCCUAUCAACAGGCUUGUCAGGAUGAGUCAACAGCAUAUUAGAUGGGAAAACACCAUAAAGUACAAAAGGCUUGUUAUCGUCAGUCUCCUUUGGUUGUUAUAUUGGUUAAGAGGACUAAUUGUUGCCUCUCUCCAAGUUCAGAACUAAUUCAAACAUACAUAGAGGAGUCAGAGGUGGAUCAAACAUUAUUUUUAUUACUAGUUAAGUUGGAUUUAAGAACAUGGCUUGACUUAUAGCUUCCUACUGUAUCCUAUAACACACUAUUUUUUCAUAUUCUGCCCUUUCUCCUUGAUUAUACUAUAAGCUUUUGGAGAGAAGAAAUUAUGCUUUAUAUCUCUCUGCAUCCCUAGAGUUUUUCACACAGCCAUAACCCCAGCAGGUGUGCUAUCUGAUAAAGGAGACUGCAUUUGUACCACAGUUUUCUAUGUGAAGCCUUUUUUCUCCACUGGCCUGGGAACUCUUGGAGGGCAGGGUUCAUGUCUUUUCAUUCCCAGUGCUUAGCAUAAUACCUAGCACAUAGUAGAUUCUUUAUAAAAGUGUGUUGAAAGAUCAUGAAAACAGAAGGGUACCAAAUGAUCUGGUGCCACCCAGGGGUUGCAGAGAGGGAUUUAUUUAUUUUUUAUUUUUUUUUUAGGAUUAUUAUGAAUAACAGUGAAUAUAAAUAUGGAUUGAAAAUAGUCCUUUUGGUGAUUUCAAAAUUUUCUGGUUGGCCUCUGAGACAGGUGGCAUCUUAAUGAAAGAGGGGAAGCUCCCCAUCUGGGAAGGCUCAGAAGUGGGGCCUACCCUAUUUCCUUAACACUCAGGACACUAGGAAGCCUUGCAGUUUACUUGUAUCCAAGUGAGGGGAUUUGCCUAUUCUGUUAUCUACUUUGAAAUGUUAGCUCCUAAAACAUGGGCAGGUAGCUUAAAAAGACAUCUGAAAUAAACACUGGAUUGAAGGCAAUGCUAAUAAUGGAAGCACAAGUGAACAACAAGCAAAAGGCAGGCUGACACUUCUAUUAUUCUUGAUAUAAACUUUUCUUCAACCAUGUUAUAAAGUAAAAAAUAACGAUGAACUAAGCAGAGAGGGAUUUAAAGGAGGGCUGUCUUCUAAGGAUCCCAUUCUUGACAGUUUGUUCAUUUGGAAAAUAGCACUACCUGCAAAUUAUUGUGAUUGAAGGUUUUAUUUGAGACAGUUUUCCCCAGGAGAAACUUCAGCUUCUGUUUACUUGUUAGGCACCCUGGCUAUCUGGGCAUCUGAGCCCUGGACAUCUUAAUUAGAGUUGGUCUGCUAAUGUCCAUAGCAGAGAGGAACUGUCACUUGGUAAUUAAGUUAGAGCCAUGACAGAAGCCUGUGACAUCUGAUGUUUCAGAAUAUAACAACCCUUGUUCUUCUCCCAAGGGAUGCACACACCAUGAAACAAUUUCCUUUGGAGUUGCUGGUAGAAUCUGCUAACAUAAUAUCUAAGAUGAGAUGGCAUGCAGAGGUCUCUGUAAGGGGUGAGGACCUCAAAACACUCUUGUGAAGUAUGCUGCUCCUCAGUUCAGGGCCUUGCAGAGGAUCUGAGACAACAAACCUUCCUAUACAGAUAAACUCUCGGUGCCUCAGUGGAGUGAGUGCAUGAGAUGUGGCUUACUCAGCUGUGGCCACCUGGGCAGGGUUGUUGUGGAGUCAGGUCCUCUGCUUUAUGUGAUUGUUUCUGUGUUUUUUAAGCCCUGAGCUGUGCUUCCAGAGAUGUCUGCACCUGUGCACUGCAUUUUGGACUAUAUGCUCUGUGGACGCUGUGAGAAUCCCCUAACUUUGCUUUUUUUUUUUUAGGACAAAUCAGAAUAAAACAAUUCAACUUUCAAGGUAUUAAAAGGAUUCACCAACUCCUAUCUCUUAACACAAUGGCCAAAAAACUGCUGGACUCAAGGCACAGUCAUGUAUUCCUGGCAUAAGGCCUGCCUGGGUGUUCUAACUCAAUGAGCCCCACAUGCCAGACUAUUUCCACAGAGCUGAUAUGGGACAGGAAGGGCUAAGGAACUUCAAAACUAAUAGUUUGGUGCAACUGAUAUGGACCUGUGCAGUCACUGACCACAUGUAGCACUGAGAACUUGAAAUGUUGCAAGUGUGACUGAGGAAGUGAAUUAUUAAAACUUAUUUUUAACUAAAUUUAAAAGGUGAUAGCUAAUUCAGUCACUAGAA